rnacentral:rRNA from 1 species
AUUGAACGCUGGCGGCAGGCCUAACACAUGCAAGUCGAGCGGAUGAAGGGAGCUUGCUCCUGGAUUCAGCGGCGGACGGGUGAGUAAUGCCUAGGAAUCUGCCUGGUAGUGGGGGAUAACGUCCGGAAACGGGCGCUAAUACCGCAUACGUCCUGAGGGAGAAAGUGGGGGAUCUUCGGACCUCACGCUAUCAGAUGAGCCUAGGUCGGAUUAGUUAGUUGGUGGGGUAAAGGCCUACCAAGGCGACGAUCCGUAACUGGUCUGAGAGGAUGAUCAGUCACACUAGAACUGGACCGCGGUCCAGACUCCUACGGGAGGCAGCAGUGGGGAAUAUUGGACAAAGGGCGAAAGCCUGAUCCAGCCAUGCCGCGUGUGUGAAGAAGGUCUUCGGAUUGUAAAGCACUUUAAGUUGGGAGGAAGGGCAGUAAGUUAAUACCUUGCUGUUUUGACGUUACCAACAGAAUAAGCACCGGCUAACUUCGUG